UACGGGGGGGGCAAGCGUUGUUCGGAAUUACUGGGCGUAAAGGGCUCGUAGGUGGCCAACUAAGUCAGACGUGAAAUCCCCAGGCUCAACUUGGGAACUGCGUCUGAUACUGGAUGGCUUGAAUUCGGGAGAGGGAUGCAGAAUUCCAGGUGUAGCGGUGAAAUGCGUAGAUAUCGGGAAGAACACCCGUGGCGAAGGCGGCUCUCUGGGACGGUACUGACGCUGAGACGCGAAAGCGUGGGGAGCGAACAGG
rnacentral:rRNA from 1 species